rnacentral:sRNA from 1 species
AGUGAAGAAAAUGAGGCACAAGGAAUUGUUAAGCAAGACCUUCCAAGGCCCAGCUGUUGUCUGUAGGACUCCGACCAGCCACGUAUACAUGUUUAAGAAUGGCAGUGGGGACUCGGGGGACGCUUCUGAAGAAGAGUCUCACCGUGUGGUUUUGCGGCCCCGCGGCAAGGAGCUCCAGAAGAGCGGUGUCCACCAGCCUCACCAGGCGGGAGCAGGUGACGUGGUGCUGCUGCAGCGGGAGCUGGCCCAGGAAGACAGCCUCAACAAGCUGGCUCUGCAGUAUGGCUGCAAAGUAAGACACCCCUCAGGGGCUCUGCCCCACUCCAUUUCAAGGAACACGGGGAACUCACUGCAGGGUGGGUGCCCUUGCCGCCCUUCUUAACCCUGCCAGGCCGUCAGGAGAGGCCUGCUGUAGCAGCCAAGGACUCCCCUGUUUAGCCAGAAUUGGAAUGCAGGUGGGGAGUACCUUGAGUUCCGAACCCUGGCCCCCAAAGAGGGAGGGUUAGCGCAUUUCCUUCUCUGCAGGGAACUUCCCCUUUUCCUGUUUUCUCCACACGGAAAUUCUGAAACCUUUUUUCUUCUUUCGAGCACAUUUUAUUUUAGACCUAAUGGGGCUGGAGAUACCAGGCAGAAUUUAAUCCCAGAUUUCUAUGCAUUCAGAGUGAUUAACAAUGGCAAAGUUGCAGAUAUCAAGAAAGUCAACAACUUCAUCAGAGAACAAGACUUAUAUGCUUUGAAAUCUAUUAAGAUUCCAGUGAAAAACCAUGGGAUCCUGACAGAGACCCACAAAGAACUAAAACCCCUUCUGAGCCCAUCUUCCGAGACCACAGUGACCGUGGAACUGCCAGAUGCAGACAGAGCAGGUGCAGGCACCGAUGCCCAGGCCAGCCAACUGAUGGAUUUCUUUAAGGGGAUUGACCAGGACAUUGAGUGUGCAGUGCAGUCAGAAAUCUUUUUACAUGAAAGUUACUGCAUAGACACCUCCCAUCAGCCACUGCUCCCGGCACCUCCAAAGACGCCAAUGGAUGGUGCAGAUUGUGGCAUUCAGUGGUGGAAUGCUGUUUUCAUCAUGCUUCUAAUUGGUAUUGUCUUGCCUAUCUUUUAUUUGGUCUAUUUUAAAAUACAAGCUAGUGGUGAGACCCCUAAUAGCUUGAACACAGCUGUCAUCCCCAAUGGCUCAAUGGCAAUGGGUACAGUUCCAGGGCAAGCCCCCAGACUAGCAGUUGCAGUGCCAACCGUCCCUUCUGCAGACAGCCAGUUCAGUCAGACCACCCAGGCAGGGAACUAAGCUUUGUUUUUAAAGAAUCAGCCCAGCUUUAGCAAUUGGCUGUUGAUGUGCCUCAGCUGUCAUUGGCGAUGGCCUAGGGGUGCUGCAUUUUGCUUCCGGGGAAGGAUGGACACUUUUCAGAAGUCACUGCAGUAUUCUCAAUUGCACUGGCCCUGGGCAUGGCCUUACCCAGUCUAAGCCGGCAGGAUCUAAAACAGCAGCGACCUCAGCCUCUAUCCAGAGAGGUGCAGCAAGAGAGCCAUUUCCAUGUGACAUUUAGUGGACUGGCCAGUUCAUAGCAGCACUGUGUGGACCCCCAAGUUGGACGUGCUUGGAGGGAAAGAAAUGGCCUCUGUGAAGGGACCUGCAGUGUGAGAGCCAGUGGCAUCUGCAUGGGUUGCCUGGCUCUCGGUGUAUCCUCACUUGCUGUGGAGUGGGGAUUGGCUCUGAGAAGGAGUGUUCUCUGUCUGCCUGGCAAAGGUGCUGUGGAAUAGUCUUGGCAUGCCACCCUGUUUUAGAGAGUGACAGUUACAAUUGUAACAAGCCUACUUCAUAUUGGCCCCCUCAGUUAGCCUUUUUGAGGCAAUGCCAUUUCUAGAGUUGAUAAAGCCCUGGACCCAAACUGCUGCACUGUUGAAUAAAGGGCAGUCCUGCUCCUGUCCUUUUAGAGCUGCUUAGUGUGACACACAGGCAUCUCCCAGGCCAAGCACACACAGGCUGUGCCCAGUUCCGCAGGAGCCGUCCCACAGUGUGGCUGUCUGGAUUCUCCCACUUGUCCUCCUUGGAAGGAGCUCUUGCAGGCCAGUGUUUGGAGGGGAGGAUGAGUGCCUGUCACUGAGGCUCCACCAUGGUUGGCAUCUGAAGCUGGGCAUUCGUCAGGCCUGUGCUGAGAGCCGCAGCCCCUGUGCACACCUAACACAGGGCGCUCCCCCUGCUGCUUCCCUGGCUCACUUCUUCGGAGCUCCAGAGUGAGAAGGCUGCUUCGUCCUUUUUCUCUGGGUGAUGCCCUUAACACUGUAUACAAUGUAACUCACAAUGUUCCAGGACCAAAGGCUUGAUGGAGGGGCUAGAGGUGACCUUGGUUGUUAAAGGCGAUCAGAACACCUGAGGGAGGAAGAGGCUUGCAGUUUUCCCAGCCCUUCCUGCUGCCAAGGCAGCAGUGGUGCUGUGGAUGGGCUGGGGACUGCUGGGCAGAGCCUGCUACUGCGUGGGAGUUGGUGCUGCCCUGUGGCAUGGAGCGGUGGGAGGCGCUGAGGUGGCUCUUGGCCCGGCCUCCAAGAGUUCUGGACAGGAGGCAGACACUGCCCAGAUGCUGGGUGGAGGGACAGUGAUGGCCUUUGACGCAUGAGGCCUGGAGAAAAGUUUCAAAGGUCUCACCAUGUAAAGAGUGAUUUCCAAUUUCUCUCCUUUCAGUUGUGUGAAAAAAACAACUGGCCUGGGUUCCAUUAGCAAAUUAAACCAUCUUCAAUCUUAAAUUAGAGACCAGAAUGAUCUUCAGGAUGGAAAGAACUUCUGAAUCUCUGCAAUAGGAAAUGUUUUGAUCAUGCAAGUGCUUUUCCAGCCAAAUGUCUGUGCUCUCCCUGUCACUGAGGGCCGCAGGUUCUUCUAACAUCUGCCACUGGCACUUCACCAGGCAGGCCUUGGAGUUCCAUGACAGAAUCACUUUUGUCAGACAAAGAAUGUAUCCUUUGCUUUUCUCAAAUGGAAUAAAAUCAUUUCUUCUGUGAAGG